rnacentral:rRNA from 1 species
AUUGAACGCUGGCGGCAGGCCUAACACAUGCAAGUCGAACGGUAACAGGAAACAGCUUGCUGUUUCGCUGACGAGUGGCGGACGGGUGAGUAAUGUCUGGGAAACUGCCUGAUGGAGGGGGAUAACUACUGGAAACGGUAGCUAAUACCGCAUAACGUCGCAAGACCAAAGAGGGGGACCCUCGGGCCUCUUGCCAUCGGAUGUGCCCAGAUGGGAUUAGCUUGUUGGUGGGUAACGGCUCACCAAGGCGACGAUCCCUAGCUGGUCUGAGAGGAUGGCCAGCCACACUGGAACUGAGACACGGUCCAGACUCCUACGGGAGGCAGCAGUGGGGAAUAUUGCACAAUGGGCGCAAGCCUGAUGCAGCCAUGCCGCGUGUAUGAAGAAGGCCUUCGGGUUGUAAAGUACUUUCAGCGGGGAGGAAGGGAGUAAAGUUAAUACCUUUGCUCAUUGACGUUACCCGCAGAAGAAGCACCGGCUAACUCCGUG